CUACGGGAGGCAGCAGUGGGGAAUAUUGGACAAUGGGCGCAAGCCUGAUCCAGCAAUGCCGCGUGUGUGAAGAAGGCCUUCGGGUUGUAAAGCACUUUUAUCAGGAACGAAACACUGUCGGCUAAUACCCGGCGGGACUGACGGUACCUGAGGAAUAAGCACCGGCUAACUUCGUGCCAGCAGCCGCGGUAAUACGAAGGGUGCAAGCGUUAAUCGGAAUUACUGGGCGUAAAGCGUGCGUAGGCGGUUUGUUAAGUCUGCUGUGAAAUCCCCGGGCUCAACCUGGGAAUGGCAGUGGAUACUGGCAAGCUAGAGUGUGAUAGAGGAUGGUGGAAUUCCCGGUGUAGCGGUGAAAUGCGUAGAGAUCGGGAGGAACAUCAGUGGCGAAGGCGGCCAUCUGGAUCAACACUGACGCUGAGGCACGAAAGCGUGGGGAGCAAACAGGAUUAGAAACCCUAGUAGUCCC
rnacentral:rRNA from 1 species